UACGGAGGGUGCGAGCGUUAAUCGGAAUACUGGGCGUAAAGACGCACGCAGGCGGUUUGUUAAGCAAGAUGUGAAAGCCCCGGGCUCAACCUGGGAACUGCAUUUUGAACUGGCAGACUAGAUCUUGGAGAGGGGGGGUGGAAUUCCAGGUGUAGCGGUGAAAUGCGUAGAGAUCUGGAGGAACAUCAGUGGCGAAGGCGGC
rnacentral:rRNA from 1 species